rnacentral:lncRNA from 1 species
UUAAUUGAUUUAAAAGGUUUACUAAGAUUAUUAAAGAUUUUAUUUGAAACAAUAAAAAAUCAAUAUUAAGAGUAAAUUACCAAAAUCGUCCCUGAGGUUUGGGCAUGUUUUCAUUUUGGACGAAAAUGACAAAAAUGCCCAAAUCUCAUGGACGAUUUUGGCAAUUAACUCUAAUAUUAAUAAUGUAGGUACACUAAGAUAGGGAGUUGGGAAUCAAAAUUGAUAUGCUAAUCGCAACUACUAUAAUAAUAAUAACAAAAUAAGCAUAAAUAAACGUUUUUAAUGUAAAAAGUGAAAACACAAGUAAUAAUAAAAUAUAUAAAUAAUAACCUAA